GAUGAACGCUGGCGGCGUGCCUAAUACAUGCAAGUCGAGCGAAUGGAUUAAGAGCUUGCUCUUAUGAAGUUAGCGGCGGACGGGUGAGUAACACGUGGGUAACCUGCCCAUAAGACUGGGAUAACUCCGGGAAACCGGGGCUAAUACCGGAUAACAUUUUGAACCGCAUGGUUCGAGAUUGAAAGGCGGCUUCGGCUGUCACUUAUGGAUGGACCCGCGUCGCAUUAGCUAGUGGGUGAGGUAACGGCUCACCAAGGCAACGAUGCGUAGCCGACCUGAGAGGGUGAUCGGCCACACUGGGACUGAGACACGGCCCAGACUCCUACGGGAGGCAGCAGUAGGGAAUCCUCCGCAAUGGACGAAAGUCUGACGGAGCAACGCCGCGUGAGUGAUGAAGGCUUUCGGGUCGUAAAACUCUGUUGUUAGGGAAGAACAAGUGCUAGUUGAAUAAGCUGGCACCUUGACGGUACCUAACCAGAAAGCCACGGCUAACUACGUGCCAGCCGCCGCAGUAA
rnacentral:rRNA from 1 species